rnacentral:tRNA from 1 species
GGGAAUUAGUUAAUUUAUAAUAUAAGCUUGUCAAGCUUAAGUUAUCUUCGGGAUAUUCUCUG